GUAAUCACAACGAAAAUUAUUCAAAAUAACAGAAAAAUUCAAAUGCUGUUGAAGCAGAGCAGAACAUAUAGGAUGUAAGCUUUGAUAUCUAGGAAGCUCUACAGGAAAUACGUUUCGUUACUCUCUAGUCCGGUUAAAUCCCGAAAACGUAGGGUGUGGUCAACUGUAGAAAAUUCUAGAUUUUGGGAAGAUGAAGUACCAAAGUUUAGUGAUAAAAAGUUCAAAAACACGUUUCGGGUUGACAGAUGUACGUUGAAUUUGUUGGUCAAAAAAUUACAUCGCCUGCAAAGAGAAGAUACUCUUUGGCGGUCUGCUAUUCGGUUGGAGAAACGCAUCGCUAUUGCCCUGUAUGCUCUCGGAUCGUCAGCGGAAUAUAGAACUAUUGGAAGUCUAUUCGGUGUAGGAAGAACAACUACGGGUGAACUGGUCAUUGAAAUCUGCAAUGCGGUUGUAGAUGUUGUGCAACACGAAGUGUUUGACGCAUACCCACCAACCUCGGAGAAGAUAUCAGAAAUAGUCGGUGGCUUCGAGAAACUGGGUUUUCCACAAUGCUACGGUGCCAUUGAUGGAUGCCAUAUAGAAGUCAAAGUACCAAAAAAUGAGGCAACCGACUACUAUAACUUCAAAGGAUGGCAUUCGGUUAUUCUGUUUGCUGCGGUGGAUCAUCGUUACCGGUUCACAUAUAUCAACGUAGGAGUUCCUGGCCGUUCAAAUGAUUCAACUAUUUUUGAGAACUCCAAACUCAAAAAAGUACACUGCACGAACGAGACAUUUAAAGCGCAUUCGAAACUAAUCGAAGGGGUUGUAGUACCAAUGCUGUUGAUCGGCGAUUUGGCUUUCAGACUGUCAAACCAGGUGAUGAAGCCGUUUCCAUUUUCUGUAGACCAGCCGGAGCAUGAAAAGUUAUUUAAUUAUCAUCUAUCAACAUGCCGACGGGUUGUAGAGAAUGCUUUCGGCCAUCUGAAGGCCCGUUUCAGAAGAAUCGGGAAAGGUUUGGAGGUCGACCUAAAUAAUGUCAAUACAAUUAUCAAAACUUGCUGCAUUCUACAUAACCUAUGUAACAACCACAAUGACCAUAUUAACAAAAAAUGGAUGAUCCAGCUUCAAACCUUAAAUUCGAAGCAACAACCACAAAGAGGAUUGAUAGUAAGAAACGAAAACGCAUCAGCAUCCAGGAUUAGAAACGCACUGAUGGUACAUUUCGGAGCGGAAUGCCUGCGGCUUGAUGAUGGCAGUGUUGGUGAUGGCGAUGAUACUGAUGAUGUCGGCGCAGAAGGUGACAUAAACAUAGAUUGAGCGAAUGUGUCGUUCUCCGGGUUGUACGCUUCAUCUAAAUACUCAGCAUCGCAGUAGUCAUCAUCUGGAACAAAAUAAAAGAUAUUGUUAGUUGCUUCGUUAAUGCCUGAUAUAUACCAAAAAACUGUUUUCAAGUCGAGUGAAAAACUAUAAAACUUGGCUGGAAUACUUUCCAGAAGAUGCCGGAUGAACUAUCUAUUCUAUCUUGAAUCAGAACCCAACUCAAAUUACUCAUAAAUCCAAAGCUGCUUCAAUGAAAAUGGAUUUGAAUGCUAAGACUGAGUGGUUAUUUACAUACAUUCACGUUCCGCGCAUGAUUCUGCAAGGUCUCAGUUUGAUUCUUUUCAGAAUAAUUAUAACAAACAGGUCAUUUGGACCACCGCUAAAGUCAUCCAUUGCAUGAGAUUUGAUACUAUAUUUGUACGACUCAAAUUGAAAGGGAAGUUCUUAUCUCACAUUUAAUAAAUUAAAAAUGGUAAGGAAAGAUUUCUAGAUGAUGUUUAACACAAGAGAAAGUCGAUCCAUGCAGUCUCCUUCUUUCGAAAAUUUACUGUCAAAAUUACUUUUAACUUACCGGAACCAAUCACCUCAUCCAUCAAAUCGCGAGUGCUGUUUUGUUUAUAAGUAUGGAGAAAGCUUUGUAGAAUAUCAAAAUAAUCCCAAGAAGAAGGUGAUCCUCCCGAGGGCCCCAUGGCGUUUCUUUCGGAUCUUUAUAAGUACACUAUCUCAAAAAAUUGCCCGUAGAGUGCUGACUCAAAAGUUUUAACAGCCGAAAAGCAUGUUAAUUCGAGCCAAAAUAAAAGCAUAUUUGGUCCGUAUGCUUUGUAAAUAUGUAUUUUUAGUAGCUCAGUUGUCAAAAUAAUCACAAAUGCCACAAAAAAUAUCUUAUCUCUGGCAUUAAUUUCAUGAAUUUUUUCAGUGGAUCAGGAAUUGAUGAAAAUCAGGGGCACUUGUGAUUAUUUUGACAAAGGGCACAUUUCCCCACAUAGGGACCAAAUAUGCCAUUAUUUUGACUUGAUUUUAUAUUCUUUUCAAAAAGUAUCUACCUGUACUUCCGAGAGAGAUUAUUGAUCCGGUUUUUCAAUUCGACCGCCGUAAGUAUAACGCCGUGGCCUUUCAGCUCCUCACACAUUUGCUUGUAGAUGUGGGAGUUCUUGGAAGUGCUCCGAAGGGACAGAAUAUUGUCCUUCCACACUUCAAUGACGACCAGCAUCCCCGAUUUGUCGAGCAUCGUAGCCUUCCUUUCCUUUGCUAGCUCCAUUACCGUUGUUCAACUACUCUUGGCCACAGGUAUAUAUAGUUUAUAGUUUUUUUCCUCACGAACUGAAUAGGAAUUGGAAUUGGUGUUGGAUUUAAGAGACUUUAACCUCUGGGAGUUCAUUCGUCUCUAACUGAAUAUUUAACACUGCGGUGUUUUGAUUCGGUGUUGACAAAACUUGUUCAUGGUGCCACCACUACCCGUCUAUGGCGCUGCGAGCAGUUGAAAUUGACAAGCUGUAACCAUGUACAACGGUGAAAUAGGUCGGUACAGAUACAGCGAUUGUACCGAGUUGCUUGCAUGGUUCUAGCGCUGUACAUGGUGACAGACAUACAAUUUUCGAAGUACAACGGUAGUACAGCUGUAUGUCUGUCAUAAGUAUAAGUGUUGCCAUAUAUUGACAAUAUAUGACAUUUCUUUUUCCCCAACC